rnacentral:rRNA from 1 species
UACGGGGGGGGGCGAGCGUUGUUCGGAAUUACUGGGCGUAAAGGGCUUGUAGGUGGCCAACUAAGUCAGACGUGAAAUCCCUCGGCUUAACCGGGGGAACUGCGUCUGAUACUGGAUGGCUUGAGUGUGGGAGAGGGAAGCGGAAUUUCGGGGUGUAGCGGUGAAAUGCGCAGAUAUCCGAAGGAACACCGGUGGCGAAGGCGGCUUCCUGGACCGACACUGACGCUGAGGCGCGAAAGCGUGGGGAGCGAACAGG